rnacentral:rRNA from 1 species
UGGGGAAUAUUGGACAAUGGGCGAAAGCCUGAUCCAGCCAUGCCGCGUGAGUGACGAAGGCCUUAGGGUUGUAAAACUCUUUCGUCGGGGACGAUAAUGACGGUACCCGAAGAAGAAGCUCCGGCUAACUUCGUGCCAGCAGCCGCGGUAAUACGAAGGGAGCUAGCGUUGUUCGGAAUCACUGGGCGUAAAGCGCACGUAGGCGGAUAGUUAAGUCAGGGGUGAAAUCCUGGGGCUCAACCCCAGAACUGCCUUUGAUACUGGCUGUCUCGAGGUCGAGAGAGGUUGGUGGAAUUCCUAGUGUAGAGGUGAAAUUCGUAGAUAUUAGGAAGAACACCAGUGGCGAAGGCGGCCAACUGGCUCGAUACUGACGCUGAGGCGCGAAAGCGUGGGGAGCAAACAGGAUUAGAUACCCUGGUAGUCCCUGAGCGGGCUGGCAAGGCGCAU